rnacentral:rRNA from 1 species
AACGAACGCUGGCGGCAUGCCUAACACAUGCAAGUCGAACGAGACCUUCGGGUCUAGUGGCGCACGGGUGCGUAACGCGUGAGAACCUGCCCUUAGGUUCGGAAUAACUCCCCGAAAGGGGUGCUAAUACCGGAUAAUGUCUUCGGACCAAAGAUUUAUCGCCUUUGGAUGGGCCCGCGUUGGAUUAGCUAGUUGGUAGGGUAAAAGCCUACCAAGGCGACGAUCCAUAGCUGGUCUGAGAGGAUGAUCAGCCACACUGGGACUGAGACACGGCCCAGACUCCUACGGGAGGCAGCAGUGGGGAAUAUUGGACAGUGGGCGAAAGCCUGAUCCAGCAAUGCCGCGUGAGUGAUGAAGGCCUUAGGGUUGUAAAGCUCUUUUACCCGGGAUGAUAAUGACAGUACCGGGAGAAUAAGCUCCGGCUAACUCCGUG